rnacentral:rRNA from 1 species
CAGCCGCCGGGGAAUACGGAGGGAGCUAGCGUUGUUCGGAAUUACUGGGCGUAAAGCGCACGUAGGCGGUUAUUCAAGUCAGAGGUGAAAGCCCGGGGCUCAACCCCGGAACUGCCUUUGAAACUAGAUGACUGGAAUCUUGGAGAGGUCAGUGGAAUUCCGAGUGUAGAGGUGAAAUUCGUAGAUAUUCGGAAGAACACCAGUGGCGAAGGCGACUGACUGGACAAGUAUUGACGCUGAGGUGCGAAAGCGUGGGGAGCAAACAGGAUUAGAUACCCGGGUAGUCCCUGUCUCUUAUACA